rnacentral:lncRNA from 1 species
CUGGACCUGCCUUGAGGACGAGAACGACGCUCAUUCAUUUCUGAUCCCUUUCUGCCCCCAGUGCAGAGCCUGGCACGCAUCCCGCCAUUCCUUCGCUUUUUUAUUUAUUUCAUACCGAAUGGCUGAGAGCCUGACAGGGGCCAGGCACGGCACAGACUGGGGGACAGCAAAGGUCCCUACCUUCUCGGAGCUGAUGACUGCUGGGGAAGACAGACAACACUAAAUACGGUUAAUUCCUUCACAGCAACUGCACUAAGUGCCACAAAGCAUCAGGCCACGCACUAUGAGGGCUUGAGGGAUGUGGAGCGGGGAUCUGGCUGAAUUCAGGACAAGGGAAGGCUUCCUAGAGGAGGUGGCCUUAAGGCUCAGAGAGGUCAAGAAACUUGCUCAAGGUCACAAAGCUGGUAAGUGGAAAGACCGGGAUUUUAACCCAGAUGCCUGACUCCAAAGCCCACACUCCAUCUGCUACACAACGCUGCCUUUUAUCUCCUCCAUCUCAUUCCUCCCUGGCUCUUCUUGGUGAGAAGGGAGCAAGGUCUGUCUAAGACUGGACACUCUAAAGCAAUGUUUUCCCAGCUUUGGGGAUCAGGGACCCCUUUCAGAAUCUGGUGAAAUCCAUGCGACCUCUCCCAGGAACUACACGUCUACAGACAGACCCACAAAAUCUUGCCUGCAAUUUCAGGGGCUCACAGGCAUCCUGAGGCCCAGGUUUAGAACUCACACCAUGGAGGACCCGAGGACUCUACGGUGAGAUUCUCAGAGUCUCAGAAAGAGAUACCAGGGUCCCCUGGGGACCUCAAAUACCCAGAUGGACCCCAGGACUCUAUAGCAAGAUUCUCAAGAUGCAGGAGAAUGAUCCUGGGAUCCUGUAGAGACGGCCAGUCCCUCCAGGGGACCAGCAAGGCCUGGAGGAGAGAGUCUCAAGAUGCCAUAGACUGCAGAGGAGCCUCAGGCCCUCGCACAGUCAGAGCCCCCACAGAGGAACGGGCACCUGGGAAAGCCCUGGUUCUUACCCCUUUUUGGGUCACUGACACCUACGAAAUUCUCAAGAAAAAUGCAACACACAGCAUGUGACACACAAAAUCACGGGGUUCGCAGACCUCUGGGAGGCCAUCCGCAGCCCCCAGAUUCAGACCUCCUGCUCUUGAGUUUCCACGAGAGCCUGAACCCCGCUGCACCCCUCCCGAGCUGGACCAGGACCACGGCCUCAAGGCACAAGCUUUGGAGUCACACAGACCACGGGCCCUGCCGGUUACCAGCCGUGACCUUGGACCGCUCCCCUACGCACCCUCAGGCCUCAGCAUCUCACCUCCCAAAAGAGAGGCUCGGA